GGGCUUUCCAAGACGAUCCCUACCCCGGAGCCGGCCUCUUCUGAGGAUCCAUCUACGAACAGUUUCCACGUUGGAGGCUUGGCUGGUUCCAUUGUCGCCUCCAUUUUUGGGGCUUUGACAAACUCAGCCACAAAAUCUGUAAGGGCUUGGCCCUUGAUGGCAUGUCGAGGUCGGAACAGUAUGUCGAACUCACUUAGCUCGAUCGCCCAUUUUAGCAGGCGUCCUGAUGCGUCUGUUUUCUGCAGCACUUGCUUCAAUGUGAAGUUGGUGAGAACUUCAAUUGAGUGGGCCUAGAAAUAUGGCCUCAGUUUCCUUGAGGCUGUGACGAGAGCGAGUGCUAAUUUCUCCAUGUCUGGAUAGCGUGUUUUGGCUGGGAGGAGUGCUUUGCUGACAUAGUAUACUGGCAACUGGUGCUCAUUUUCUUCUCUGACUAGGACAGCGCUGACUGCCUCGUUCGUAACUGCCAAUUAAAGUAGUAGUGGCUCUUCUGGUUGAGGUUUUGACAACAGGGGUGCCUCUUCUAAGUGCUUCUUCAGCGUUUGGAAGGCUUCCUCGCACUCAGAAGUCCAUUGGAACCUCUUUCCUUGCCUCAGGACAUUGAAGAAGGGUAAGCUCUUAUCCAUAGCUCUGAAGAUGAAGCAACUGAGUGCUGCUAUCUGACCAUUGAGGCUUUGGACCUCCUUUGGUUUCUAAGGUGACCUCAUUUCAAGCAAGGCCAUUAUCUUUACUAGGUUCGCUUCGAUUUCUUCUUGGUUUACAAUAUAUCCCAAAAAAACUUACCCGAAGCCACUCCAAAGGUGCACUUGAGGGGGUUCAACUUCAUUUUAUAUUUUCUAAAUAUCUGAAAGGUUUGGUCGAGGUGACCUACGUGUUCGUAAGCUUGAAGGCUUUUGACUAGCAUGUCAUCUACAUAGACCUCCAUGGUUUUGCCAAUGAGUUUGGCAAACAUCAUGUUGAUCAGCCUCUGAUAUGUAGCUCCAACAUUUUUCAAUUCGAAGGGCAUAACCUUGUAGUAGUACAGUCCUCUAUCUGUGAUAAAUGAUGUAGCCUUCUCAUCGGGUCGGAACAUGGGUAUUUGGUUAUACUUUGAGUAUGCGUCCAUGAAGCUCAAGAGUUUAUGUUUGGCGGUGGAAUCCACAAGUUGGUCUAUCCUUGGAAGUGGGAAGCUGUCUGUAGGGCAUGCCUUAUUUAAGUUUGUAAAGUCUACGCACACCCUUCACUUUUCGCUGGGCUUCUUCACCAGGAUCGGGUUGGAUAUCCACUUCGGAUAUAUGGCUUCUCUGAUGAAGCCACUGCAGCUAAAUUUGUCUACUUCGUCUUUGAGUGCCUCGUAUCGCUCUGUGUUGAGUGCACGUCUUUUCUAGCGAUGUGGGACACAGGAAGAGUUGAUGUUAAGAUGAUGACAACUGAUUCUCGGAUUUAUUCCCACCAUGUCUUCAUGCUUCCAAGCAAAGACAUCUAAGUUCCUUUUCAGGAAGCACACCAUUUCUUCUUUUGCUUCGGGAGACAGUGUCUUCCCUAUUUGCAAGACCUGACUGGGGUUCUCUGGGAUGGCGAAGAAGGUUUCAAGUUCUUCCAUUGGGGUCACAUUUAGCUCGGAGUCAAUGAUCUGGGGAUCUAAUUCAUCAAGAGGGUGGCCUUCUUCAAGGGCCUCUUCCAUGUCAAUGUUUUCUUCCUGUUUGGAGGUAUGCCCUUGUUCAGGGGCGUCGAGCAUUUCCACGUCCAAAUUGGGUUCGCUGGCAACUUCAGUUAUGAUCACAUUAACAGUUCGGGUCUUCGAUUUUCGCAAAGCGUUUAAGUAACAUGCCCUGGAGCCCAUCUGGUCACCUCGUACCGUGGCAAUCUCAUGUUCAGUCGGAAAUUUCAUACACAAGUAGUGGAUGGAGGUGACAACCCAAAGAUCUUUCAAGGCGGGUCUACCACCAAGAAUUCCAUAAAGUGUUGGGCCACUAGGGGGGUGAACCCAUCUUGACGGGCAAAGUAAUUCACCAUCGUGGGAUGAUGUUGUCUCCAGUAAAUUCGAAUAGUGGGUCAGUCAUGGGGAUUAGCCCAUGUUCAAUUUGCAUCUUGUCGAAGGUGGAGCCGAACAGUAUAUUUACCGAACUACCAUUGUCGACAAGCAUGCAUUUGAGUUCGUUUUUUGCCACUACGUCUCUUACAACCAGUGCGUCACAAUGGGAGUGGUGAACUCCUUAUGCAUCUUCUUGGGAGAAGGUGAUUGGGGCCAUCC
rnacentral:lncRNA from 1 species